rnacentral:rRNA from 1 species
UACGAAGGGGGCUAGCGUUGCUCGGAAUCACUGGGCGUAAAGGGUGCGUAGGCGGGUCUUUAAGUCAGGGGUGAAAGCCUUGAGCUCAACUCAAGAAAUGCAUUCAGGACUGGGCGGCUAGAGGACCGGAGAGGAUAGUGGAAUUCCCAGUGUAGUGGUGAAAUACGUAGAGAUUGGGAAGAACACCAGUGGCGAAGGCGGCUAUCUGGACGGUUUCUGACACUAAGACUCGAAAGCGUGGGGAGCAAACAGG